CAGUAGCCGCGGGAAUACGAAGGGUGCAAGCGUUAAUCGGAAUUACUGGGCGUAAAGCGUGCGUAGGCGGUUUGUUAAGUCUGUUGUGAAAUCCCCGGGCUCAACCUGGGAAUGGCAAUGGAUACUGGCAAGCUAGAGUGUGUCAGAGGAUGGUGGAAUUCCCGGUGUAGCGGUGAGAUGCGUAGAGAUCGGGAGGAACAUCAGUGGCGAAGGCGGCCAUCUAGGACAACACUGACGCUGAGGCACGAAAGCGUGGGGAGCAAACAGGAUUAGAUCCCCGGUAGUCCCUGUCUCUUAUACA
rnacentral:rRNA from 1 species